GUUGCUUUGGAAGAAAUUUUCCGCGAAAGCAGUUGACUAGAAGCAGCGAGACACCUUGUCUUCACGGCCGAGGCCUUUUCAAAGAAACCUUCCUCAUUAGAGGUUAUUAAUUCAUGAACCCUGUUCAGCUGUGAUAGUCGGAAUUGUCGUGAUGGGGACGGGUGCUCGUAAUCUUUUCAGGUUUACUCAUUCUCGAACAGGAUAGCGUCGGGGACGCUUGCAUGCAUCUCCUUUUAUUUACUACAACCCAAUACUCUACCUAAAACCUGCUAUCCUGCCAUCAGCGUGGUGACUCGUUGUUACGAGGAUGUUGGACGUGGCUAAACCGCUCACCUUGUUUCGGCAACAGGAGUUUUGAGUCUUUCCAAGUCCAGUCACUUGGUUAUGGAGAUUGCUUUAACAAAACCACUGCGAAGGGAACGGAUUCGGAAAAAUUAGCGGAGAAAGAAGUCCCUGUAGUACUUGUCUCUCAACUGGCUCUGUAAGGAGACAUGAGAGGGCACUGCCAGACGGAGAGUUUGACUGCGGCGGUAAAUCUGUCAAAGAAUAAUGCAGGUGUCCUAAGGCCACUUCAGCGAGGAGAGAAACCUCUCGUAGUGCAAAAGAGCAAAGGCUGGCUCAAUCUUGAUGUUCAGUGCGCGUAGAGACUGCGAAACCACGGCCUAUCGAUCCUUUUGGCUUGAAGAGUUUUCAUCAAGAAAUAUCAGAAAAAUUACAACAGGGAUAAGUAGCAUGUUGCAGCCAAGCGUUCAUAGCGGCGUCGUUUUUUGAUCCUUCAACGUCGUCUCUUCCUAUCAUUGCGAAGCAGAAUUCGCCAAUCGUCGGAUUGUUCACUCUCCAUCAGGGAACGUGAGCUGGGUUUAGACCGUCGUGAGACAGGUUAGUUUUACCUUACUGAUGAAUAGUCAUUGCAAUAGUAAUCCUGUUCAGUACGAGGGAACUGCAGGUUGAAACAUUUAGUUCACCUACUCUGUCGAGCGACUAUUGGUGCGAAGCUACUAUCCGUGGGUAUAUGUCUGAACUCCUCUAAGGCCGUAUCCUUCGUAGUCAAUGAAGGCAAAGAUAUUUCUAAGAGUCUCUUGAGUGGAAAGGUUCAAAACAAUGUGAUAGUACUAGGUGAUCGGUCAACUGGCCGGUCAUUGCAUGAGCCCAGUUUGCCAUAUGGAACCAA